GCCUCUCACUCUCUCUCUUGCCCCAGCCACCCCGCUCCCCCCUUGCUUUCCAGUAGCGGAUCUUGCCGCCGCCGCCGCUCGCUCCAUUCCCCUCACCCCGCCACACCCUCCUUCUUCCCUGGACAUGUAAGCGUGAGCAGCAGCACGAGGAACACGAUGGCAUCCGCCGAAGACCAGGCCGCGGCGCUGCUGGUCGGCGACCCGGCGGCGUUCGACGCGCUGCUCUCCACGCUCAUGUCGGCCUCCAACGCCGAUCGCGCCGCCACCGAGGUUGCCUUCCACCGCCUCUGCGGCUCCCACCUGGAGCCCCUCGCGCUGCGCCUCGCCCCCUCGCUCGCCGCGCCGUCCACACCCACCGAGCUCCACGCCAUAGCCGCCACCCUCCUCCGCAAGCUCCUCUCCCCGACGGCCUCCUCCGACUCCUCCGUUGCCGCGCCGCCCCCGCUCUGCCCCCUGCUCUCCCUUGACGGCCAGGGCACGCUCAAGGCCCACCUCCUCGCCGCGCUCUAAUCCGACCCCCCCAAGCCCAUCGCCAAGAAGGUUUGCAAUGCCAUAUACGAGCUCGCCACGCUCCUCCUCUCGGAGAACACCUGGGCCGAGCUGCUGUCGUUCCUCUUUCGUGCGGCCUCCACCCCUGAGGCGCCCAACCUGCAGGAGUCCGUGCUGCUCAUCUUCGCACGCCUCACGGAUUACAUCACCGAAUAUCUUCUCGACCAUUUGAAGACCAUCCACAACCUUCUAGCAUCUGCCCUGGCGCACCGACCUCGCCUGAUGUUCGCAUCGCCGCACUGAGCACUACCGUUAAUCUUGUUCAAUGCCUGCCCACUAAUGCAGCAGAGAUAAGAUGCAGGACUUGCUGCCUGCAAUGAUGAGGGCACUCAUGAAUUGCCUGAAUUCGUCCCAGGAGGCAUCUGCACAGGAGGCACUGAGGAGCGCCAGCCGCCGAGACCGUCCACGUAGUCAUUGUCGUCGUCCUCACACCGGCAGAUCCUCUAGAGCGCCUCCUUCGAGGAGCUCCCACCUACCCACCGCGCACGCUGACGCAUCCUGCUCCUCGGGUGAGAGCUUUCCCCUGCGACCUCGGUUCCCUGUCUCUGCUUCUCCACUGCGGCAACAUCCUCGUCAUCUAUAUCGGUCGACCGACUGCAGUGUACUACUAGCGGUGAGAUUCAGAAGGAGGAGGCAAACAGGGAGACGAGGUCAAUUUAUGUGCACAUGAAGGAGAGUGGUGGCAAUGAAGAUGAGCAUGUGGGAACGCAGCGUCAUCGGCGUCCAUGUUGCGACCGGCCUCAACAUCAAGAAGGCGUCACACUAAGCUGUCUAUACAUCAUCCCCACCACCCCAGCUGCGUCAUUGCUACAUUUGGACUCCAUGGGAUUUGAUGAGCUUGUUGCUCUUCUGAAAGGUAUCACAUUAUUCAAAGUGAGGUGCAUAUAUAGAUAGCAUUGAUUUUUUCUCAAUCGACGUUUUUUUUAUUAUGGAUAGGGUAUAAAUGCAUGAUUAGCAACUUUUGUUGUUACUUUCCAUGUUUUCCAUAUAUCUAUUGCAGUCCAUAUUGUGAUGCCAAACAUGAGUGGCGGGCGGGAGUGCCAAGGGUGGCGGGAGACCUGGCAUCUACCUAGAUUGGUUAUAUAUACUUUGGCAAUGUUACCCGUGGAAAUAGGAAUGAUUUUCUGAUUGUAUGGAAAGAACAAUCAAUUUUCCCGGUGAAUCUUACAUUGUCACAAGGGUAAGGCCCGUGCUCUAUGUUUCUCCUGUAAAAUUAACAGCAUUGGCUACCUCAAAAAGAAAGGAAAUGAACAGUUCUGUUAUGAAGAUGACAUCAUAGACCAAGCAUGAGCCUUUUUCUGUUGCUUGAUGCAUGUUUUAAACUGAUGCAAUGGAGGACUGUUUUUGUGUUUUACAUUCUCUAGCUUUCUUAUGUAUUUGUAUAUCUUUUCCCUACUGUGGAUCCAAAUUUACAAGGAAUCCUUUGUGAUGCUAAAUUUAUUUCAGUGAUACAGAAUGUGAGAUCAUUGAUGGGCAUGUCUGACAAUUUCUUAUGACGGAAACAUAUCUGGUGCUUUUCUUGAUGGGCAUGGUCCGGAAUUGCCCUUGCAUAGUUGUUUGGUUCAGGUAUAUAAACUAGAAUAAAACUAAACUGUAAUAAUUUUAGGAUCAUGAUUGAGUAGUCACAUGAAAACUGUCGAGUAAAAUCGAUGUUUACAUACAUGGAUUCUAUGAAUCUGCGUAGAACUAAAUCAUAGGUUGGUAGAGAUUCCAACCGGAAGUUAUUAUCCAUAAAAUAUUUAUAUGAAUUUAUGUUUUGCUUCGUCUCCCUGUGGAAAUGACUGCUACAAGGUAGGAGUUGAAGUAUAAUAAAUUAGGGGGCUAGAGAAAUCGGUCUGAAGCCACUGAUAUCCUCACAAAUUUAAUGGAUUCUCCUGUUAUUAUUUUCUUAUAGUUGUAUUUUGAGCAUAAGCAUCUCUAGCUGAGCUGCUCUUUCAAGCCUAAUCCAAAAUUAAGGAUUAUUGAUGUACUAAAAAAAUAGUCUAAGAAAUAGAAAAUUCCUUUGUUGAUAAGAAAUUGUAGUGGGAUAUCCUGUCUAAAUGUACAGCUGACCAGAUAUCCUGUUAUUAUUUUCUUAUAGUUGCAACUUUUAGCAAUGCUUGUUGAUGUUAUGCAAAUGACGUUGUGUCUGAUAUCAAGGCAGUAUAUGAAGAUAAACAGUGCCCAGUUUUUGCAUGGUUGUAACUUCCAGAACAGGUUAUGCUUUUGAGUUUCCCCAUCAUUUGAGCUUUUGGCGCUUGAUUUCAUUUGUGAUUUGGAAAUUUACAUGCUUUUUGUGCCGAGAUUUGGAUUUUGACAACAUCAAUCUAAUAGUCAACUAUAUAGUGGAUGAGAAUAUGUGGCUCUCGGGUGCCACACACCCGUGUAUGAAUAUAGUAUUAAAAAAUACCAGGAAAUUUAAAAAAUAUAUGGAAGUUUGGGAUAUCAAACCUGGGUGGCAAUUGUACACCGGUGUUCAGUUUCGUGCGGAAUGGGUGCCGGUGGUGUUCUCGGUAAAAAAAGUCAAAAAGAUUCUAUGAAUAAAAAAACUGUUUGGAUGGAUCCUAUGGCCGAUCGUAUUUUUUUAACCAUGGAUACCACGGGCACCCAUUCCCCAUGAAACUAAAUACGGGUGUACAAUGGGCACCUAGGUUUGAUAUCCUAAAGUUACAGAUUUUAUUGAAAUUUCCUGGUAUAUUUUUAUUACUAUAUUCAUAUAGAGGUUUGUGGCACCCGAGAGCUCCCAUACAUUUCCCAGUAUAUAGUUUACUACUAUGCCAUAUAAAAGCAUUGUAAAUAACUCUCUGAGACUAUCACUAUGGCCUGCUCAUGGUAUAUUGUACUGCAUCGUGAUGCUUUAUGUAUUUAAUGCUACAUUUUCUAACAAACACACCAAUGACAAGUAAUGAAACUCAUGAUCUGUACUGGACUGUUACUGCUACAUGCAUCUACUAUCUCCUAUUAUUUGAGUGGAUGUUGGAUUGUUAGACUUCUUUUAUGGAUCAUCAAACUUCUUUUAUCGGUCUGCCCCCUUGACCGCGACAAAGGAAGGGCCUCAUUCAGAGAGCAACGACGAUAGCACUCCAGCAGCUAAAAGUGUCAACGAAUUAGAGGAUAGCCUCACGAAAAUUGUCGGCUCGCUGUCACCAAAGGAAUAAACAUCAAACGAGUAACAUACCCUCCCUCCUGCUGUUCAGACUUGUACAACUAUAUGCAUUACUCAUGUUUGUGGCUUUCCCAGUGAAACAGACCACAUGCCCAGCAAAAAAAUAAAGUCUCAGCCUAAUACCCGCAGGGCUUUAGUCUCUAAAGACUAAAUGAACAAAUUGCAUGAUACAUUGAUGGGGAUGACAUUCCAAAAGGCGGGCGUAGUGAACGUGUUGAAGGAGUUGUAGCCUAUGUCUCUGCCUCAAAUGUCGAUGAUGCCUCUUUGUGCUAUCACUCCCAUGUCCUUUUUAUUUUGUUUGUUCGGUGAAUGUUGGAUUAGACAAGAAGGAUUUAUUCACGCUGGAUUUGCACAACUAUGAACUAUUUGUGCAAUCUUUUAUUUAAGCUUUGAAACAAGAAAAAUAAAUGUUGGGUUUGAGCAA